UACGUAGGGGGCUAGCGUUGUCCGGAUUUAUUGGGCGUAAAGAGCGUGUAGGCGGCCAGGUAGGUCUGCUGUGAAAACUCGAGGCUCAACCUCGAGACGUCGGCGGAAACCAUCUGGCUAGAGUCCGGAAGAGGAGAGUGGAAUUCCUGGUGUAGCGGUGAAAUGCGCAGAUAUCAGGAAGAACACCCGUGGCGAAGGCGGCUCGCUGGGACGGUACUGACGCUGAGGAGCGAAGGCGUGGGUAGCAAACAGG
rnacentral:rRNA from 1 species